rnacentral:rRNA from 1 species
CCUACGGGAGGCAGCAGUAGGGAAUAUUGCACAAUGGGGGAAACCCUGAUGCAGCAACGCCGCGUGGGUGAUGAAGGUUUUCGGAUUGUAAAACCCUUUUGUUAGAGAAGAUAAUGCCGGUAUCUAACUAAUCAGCUCCGGCUAACUCCGUGCCAGCAGCCGCGGUAAUACGGCGGGUGGAAGCGUUACUCGGAAUCACUGGGCGUAAAGGGCGCGUAGGCGGGUUAGCAAGUCCGAUGUGAAAGCCUAUGGCUUAACCGUAGGACUGCAUUUGAAACUGUUAGGCUAGAGUGCGGGAGAGGUAAGUGGAAUUCGGGGUGUAGCGGUGAAAUGCGUAGAUAUCAGGAGGAAUACUAGUGGCGAAGGCGACCUGCUGGAACGUAACUGACGCUGAGGCUCGAAAGCGUGGGGAGCAAACAGGAUUAGAUACCCGAGUAGUC